ensembl:lncRNA
AUGCCUUGGUUCCUCACUCUCUUCACUUCCCUGCCCUGCUGGGACUCUGUUCUGGCUGUCUGGGAUCUGAUCAUUCUGCAUGGCCUGUCUGCUGUAUUCCGUACAGCCCUGACCCUUGUCGAGCUCCUGGAGUCUCGACUGAUGGACCUGACCGACGAGGGAGCAGUGUUACCCCUCCUGUUGAGAGUCCCUUUCGAUGUAUCCAAGUACGCCGUCUUCAUCCCCGCCCUGUGGAAUACCGAGGUCCAGGACUGGGAGCUCAAAUGCAUGAGCGGUCUGGUGUUGGACGAGAGCCACCAUGGACCAGGACAGUGUCAGGAACAGAAGGUCACACCCUCAGCCCAAGCCAGUGGAGGUAAAGAAAAUGAAAACGUACAGGAAGGAGAAAAGACCGCUGAAAAGGAAUCGGUCUCCGGGGCUAAAAGUGUACUGACCCGCGUGAUGCGCCUGGCCCAGCGCUACCUGGCCGACCAGAGGGGUAGACAGAGGACUGAGGGGCAGGGGGCUCAAACACAGGCCAGGACCAGACAGCGCAGUCCUGCACCUGCGCGAGUCUUCCGGAGUCGGACCGGCUCUUCCCUCACACAAAGUCAGACCAGAUCACGAAGGCGAAGCCAGCAGAGAGGCGUUGCUCAGCAGCCAGUGGUGCAGGGGAGCGGCGACGAUGUCGCUAUGCCAGAUGCAGCCGGAAGAAGUGACAGCUCAGAACCGAAUCUCAAUAGGACAAGCACGGGACCUUUAAGCAAGGUGGCCGGUCGCCGUAGCAACCACAGCCUCGUCAGCGGCAAGUCCCUCCGUCUUCUACGAAGUGGCAAGAAGCGGAGGAGCCAGACCCCUCCCCCCGCCUCCGUCCUCCCGCCGUCCCUGCGUACCUCGACCCUUCCUCCAUCUUCCUCCAACGCCCCUCCAAGCGACGAUCAGCUUGACACACCCAGGACCGCUCUCAUCAAGGAGUUGUCUUCCCGGCAUCAGACCAGCUUCCCAUUCAGGAACGCCAGAGAGUCCAAGCUGAUCUGA